rnacentral:rRNA from 1 species
UACGGAGGAUGCAAGCGUUAUCCGGAUUUAUUGGGUUUAAAGGGUGCGCAGGUGGCUUUGUAAGUCAGUGGUGAAAGUCUGCCGCUUAACGGUAGGACUGCCAUUGAUACUGCAGAGCUUGAGUUUGGAUGAGGCAGGCGGAAUGUGUAGUGUAGCGGUGAAAUGCAUAGAUAUUACACAGAACACCGAUUGCGAAGGCAGCUUGCUAAUCCACAACUGACACUGAGGCACGAAAGCGUGGGGAUCAAACAGG